CGCAGCCGCGGUAAUUCCAGCUCCAAUAGCGUAUAUUAAAGUUGUUGCAGUUAAAAAGCUCGUAGUUGAAUUUCGGAGUUUAUCGGUUGGUCGGGCUUCACUGUCCGCACUGGCCUGAUGGAUUCCUACCUUCUGAAUAACCAGCAUGCUAUUAAUUUAGUGCGUUGGGGAAGCAGAGCUAUUACCUUGAAAAAAUUAGAGUGCUUAAAGCAGGCUUAUGCUUGAAUAGAUUAGCAUGGAAUAAUAAAAUAGGACGGCUUGGUUCUAUUUUGUUGGUUUCUAGGAUCACCGUAAUGAUUAAUAGGGAUAGUUGGGGGCAUUAGUAUUCAAUUGUCAGAGGUGAAAUUCUUGGAUUUAUUGAAGACUAACUUCUGCGAAAGCAUUUGCCAAGGAUGUUUUCAUUAAUCAAGAACGAAAGUUAGGGGAUCGAAGACGAUCAGAUACCGUCGUAGUCUUAACCAUAAACUAUGCCGACUAGGGAUCGGACGAUGUUAAUUUUUAAUUGACUCGUUCGGCGUAC
rnacentral:rRNA from 1 species